rnacentral:lncRNA from 1 species
UUAUGGUUUCACUGGAAGAUUUUACCAGGUCUGUUGGAGCAUAAUUGGUAGUGAUGUUGUCAAAGUGGUGAACAAGUUCUUCUCAAGUUGAACACUCCUAAAUUCAAUUACACACACAAAUUUGGUCUUACUGCCUAAAAAGAAAAUGUGCAAACUUUUUCUAACUUAAGACCAAUCAGUCUAAGCAAUUUCUUGAACAAAGUAAUAUCCAUGGUGAUU